GACGAACGCUGGCGGCGUGCUUAACACAUGCAAGUCGAACGGAAAGGCCCAAGCUUGCUGGGGUCUUCGAGUGGCGAACGGGUGGGUAACACGGGGGUGAUCUGCCCUGCACCCGGGGAUAAGCCGGGGAAACUGGGUCUAAUACCGGAUAGGACCGUGCUUUAGUGUGGGCGGUGGAAGGUUUUUCGGUGCAGGAUGAGCCCGCGGCCUAUCAGCUUGUUGGUGGGGUAAUGGCCUACCAAGGCGGCGACGGGUAGCCGGCCUGAGAGGGUGUACGGCCACAUUGGGACUGAGACACGGCCCAGACUCCUACGGGAGGCAGCAGUGGGGAAUAUUGCACAAUGGGCGCAAGCCUGAUGCAGCGACGCCGCGUGGGGGAUGACGGCCUUCGGGUUGUAAACCCCUUUCGGCAGGGACGAAGCUUUUGUGACGGUACCUGCAUAAGAAGCACCGGCUAACUACGCG
rnacentral:rRNA from 1 species